UCUGCCUCUCAGGUCAGUGCAUAUGUGUGUGUUUUAUGCGCACAGAUGUGGCAUGAAGCAGGCAGAGAGAACAGAUGCAGACA